rnacentral:lncRNA from 1 species
AAUUAAUACAUCACUACGAUUAAAAUAAAAUAUAUUGGUUUUUACAUUAGUUUUAAAAAAUUGUUGUUUUGUUUUGAAAUAGAUGAAACUGUUAGUAUAUUAGGGAAAAUACACUAUCACAGGAUUUAAGAUGGAAGAGGGAUACCACUAACCAUCACAUUAGAGCCACAAGAUGAUUAUUCCAAGCACAAAGAGACACAAUGCAGCCCUAACUGCUGAUCUCCACAGUGGUUCGUGGAGUAAGAGUGUUGUCAGUCGAAGAAAAAGCUACAAGCAAGGGCAAAAAAAGGAGCUUCUCAGUUUCUUCAUUGGUGUUAGUAAAUUAUUUUUAGUUUUGUUAGAUGGAUGCAAAGUUGGUAAGAAUGAGCAAAACAAAUACUAAAAAAUCUAUAUUUUCC